AUAAUGACACCCAUAUUUGUAGACAUGUCCAUCACACCAAGGACAGGUCAGAGGAAAAGGAAGUUACUGACAGAUUAUGGACUCCACCCUCUGUUAGUUGAGGCCGAGAGGCCAGUGGGAGAAAUGUUGUGUGUGAUUUGUUUCUGUAAAACGUAGAAGCUUUUCUGAAGGUGAACAAGGACAACAAAAGCAACCUCACCCGGCAGUUGCCAGGAGGCGUGCUAAAGACUGGCUAUAAAAGGACUGAAGACGAUGUUUCUGACAGAAGCUAUCCGCCAAUCGUCUCAGCCUGUAGCCUUAUUGCAACUCUAAACACUUGUCACCAUGCGUCAGCUGAUGAUCCUGGCAGCAGCUCUACUCAUCCUGUGUGUAGAGAUGAGUUCUUGUGAUGCAGAGCCUGAUGCAAUACAAGAUGAAGUUCUACACAAGCUUCACAAGAGAGCCUCUGAUGGCACUAAGACUCGUUUUGGCGGUAGUAUUAAACCUGGCUAUGGCGUUGCCAGUGGUAGACGUCUUGCACCCGAUGAGCCACACCCUGUCAUGUAAGCUGCUCAACGAUGGACGACACACAUCACUGCUUCUGCCUAACCACUCACCGCUACAAAGACAAGCUACAAUCAUCACUUACUACAAACUUGUCUUCUCCUUCUUUUGCUCCUACAAACAUGCGGCCUGGCAGAUGACUUGAAGAGACUUCUACUAAAGCUUUGUCUCCUGUACAGACAAACUAUAACCACAGCUGACACAACUCUCACCUAGUGCUUGUAGUUUAGUAUCAGCCUGUCUUCUGAUGAUAAACCUUCCUGUAGUUCAAGUCCUGGCUGCACUGUCAGUCCACAGACAACAGCAGACGAGAGACAAACUUUGUGUUUGGCUGCUGUGAGGCUGAUAACAAGAGACACAUGUACUGGCAUUGACACUCACUAUAAUAAUGGACAACAAUGGCAACAUACAACCUUCUUUCUUUCUUCUUUCGCUAAAGCUUUUAAAAAUAAACUCAGACUUCUAUACA